CCCUUAGACGUUCUGGGCCGCACGCGCGCUACACUGACCAGUGCAACAAGCAUCCGUCCUUGGCCGACAGGCUCGGGCAAUCUUUGAACGCUGGUCGUGAUGGGGAUAGACUUUUGCAAUUUUUGGUCUUCAACGAGGAAUUCCUAGUAAACGCAAGUCAUCAACUUGCAUUGAUUACGUCCCUGCCCUUUGUACACACCGCUCGUCGCACCUACCGAUUGAAUGGUCCGGUGAAGCCUCCGGAUUGGCGCGCACCUCGGUGCCGCCGAGAAGUUGGCUAAACCUUACCAUUUAGAGGAAGGUGAAGUCGUAACA
rnacentral:rRNA from 1 species